rnacentral:tRNA from 1 species
AGCGGGGUAGGACAGCUAGGAGUGUCCGUUGGGCUCAUAACCCAAAGGUCGCUGGUUCAAAUCCAGCCCUCGCUA